UUUGAGAAGACAGAAGGGUCAGUGCUCAGAAGAGCUGCCCAUGAGAAACACCAAGAAGCCCUCCACUGAAGGUGCCAUUUGCUCAUGCUGCACAUCAGGGAGCCUGGAGCUGGUCACAGCUGAUGGAAGAGGAAGAAAAAUGGUUUUUUGACCUGAAACUUCUGUGAAUUCAGGACAAGGAAGAAGCUCAAAAGGAGUUAGGAAGUAUCCUAUUAGGACUUGCUGCAAGUGGAUGCUGAAGCACUUCCAGAGCUGCUGAGUUCAAUUUGUACCCUCCCUGUUACCUUUGCCAGGUGGAGCUGCUGUCUCUGCUUUAGGGAGCAAUACAUGGAUGCUGUGUGAAACUGCCCUCUGAGAGAGGCCCCAUGCUGAGCUCUGCUGUGCUCUCAUGAAUUUAUAACAGCUCUGCUACACUGACAUUGUUCCAAGGCUUUGCUGGUGAGGAUGCAGUCAAAAUCUCUCCUGUGGGGAGCAGAAGUGCUGCAGAGGAGUUUGCCCCCUUCACCAGUUUCUCACUCCAUGUUCACAGUGGCUUUCCAUUCCCUGGUGGCAAGUCAAGGCAGAGGAAAUCCAGCCAGCCACUGUCCCCAGCAUCUCCCCAUACCAUUCCUGCCAGGCAGACUGGGAAUCCCCUUGAUGCUGGGAUUGCUAAGUUUUCCUGCUGGUUAAGGCCUUUUAUACAUUUCACUGCCAGUUCUGUUCUAGUGCUGAAUGUGCCUCUAUGACCUGUCUGUAUCCUCGUGUGUGGUUCUUCAUUCCCUCUCUCUGCCUGUGCCCACCCCUUCCUGUGCAACCAGAGGGUUGGCAGGACUGUCCUUUCUGUCAGCAUCAUAGCAGCUGGUAAGUGCAGAACAUCCCUGUGUGGAAAAGCAGCUGAAGGCUGUUCCCUGCAAUGGAACCCUUCACUCUCAGCUCCUCCAGCUCUCAUUCCACGCAGGUGUAAUUGCAUGGGACUGAGCUGCAGGAAAGAACUUGAAGUGGUUAUUUCUUGGCUUGUGUAUGAUCAAAGAGUCUUUUGCAGAGGUGUGAUCCCACAUCAUGAAUUCAGAGUUUCAUCAAAGAUGCUGCUCUACUGGCCUACAUACAGGAGCUUUAGAAGUCACCUGCAGUGACCUAGAAGAAGAUAUGCUUUAAAAUAUAGAAGUUUGAGUCCACGGCUGUCUGGGAGCCAAAUGAUCAGGUGUUCUAAAGCAGCCUGGAAAAGAACAGGAGGACUGCUCAUGUUGCUGAAGGUCUCCAGGACAGGACACACUGUCUGUCUCUGUGCUAGUGUAGGGAUGUGCCCUGAGCACUGCAGCACUCUGCUGCUUCCAGCCUGAGGAAUAACUGAUGCAUAACACAAGAGAGGAGUCCCUGUGAGUGGGCACUGACAGGUGGAUAAUAGAAAUGUUCUGGACAGUCAGAGAGCUGCUGGAGAUGACAUAUGAGAAGAAAAUCACUGCUGGAGUACAUUUGAGGAGGGUCUAGCUUUAGUUGUCUGUGUAACAGCUGAGAUGAAAGAACUUUUACAUGUGCUCCCUUUUAUGCAUCACUGAAUCCAGAGCUGGGCAGGGAGAGGCAAGGAGAAGAAGAGGCAGUUCUGGAGGACUGAGGCAGUUGAUCCAGUACUGGAAAAGUGUUCCCAAGGAGCAAAAUCUGACAGUGUGGCUGUUUCCUGCUCCUGGAAAAGCUCCCUGUGUGUCCAGCACAGAGCCACAUGCAGUCAUCACCUGGCCAUGGAUCACCAAGGUCAUAAAGCUCAAGUGGAGAAAUGCUUUUUCAGGUGAUUGCUCACUUUUUGCCGCUAAUUUUCAAUAUUAAGAAUCAUCUUGGCUGUGGUUAAUAAUGUUGAGUGAUGUGCUGUUCCAUCCAAUGGGAUAAGAUGCAAGAGAUUCAACGACCUGGAGUGAGCUGAAAAAAUGAAGGGAAAGAGCUGAACCAACCAGAACUUUAUAAAUUCACCUUAUGAUAAUGAAUACCUGCUCCCUUCCUUCUCAGAGGAAUCAAUUCCAUUUUUCCAUCCUAAGAGACAAAGAAAAUGCCAGUCCAAUAGACUGUUAGUGUGGGUUGGCUGAAACUGCAAAGAAAGAAGAAUUGUCCAAGUGUCCAUGUGAGAGCAAGAGUAGCUCCCAUUCUGCAUCUCAAUGGCAGUAGAAAAUGCCCAGCAAUUCUGCAGCAGAUUAGGGGUCACAUCCCUCAUUAUUGUGGGCUAUGCAGAAGGCAGAGUCCAUAACUACAGAUACCACAGUCCUGUCUGCCUCUCAAAAUACUCCUUUCAUUGCCUUUUUCUUCCUUUAUUUUUAAUAGCAAUGGAAUAUGCUGAACUGCAAAUGCUGGUGCUUGCUGUAUUUUUCCUCAUCCCUGGAGUUAUAUAUUCAUUUCCAUCCUGUAAAAAUAACCUGUUUAUUCCAUUUCUAAGUCCUGCAUGAGAUGGUUCUCAUUUUCCCCAUUCCCUGUGGUUUUAUCACAACUGCCUGCCCACCUGUGUGCUUUGUCUCAGCUACAGAGUUUUCCUUCUCCAGAAAGCUGCCAAGCAGUUCUCUCCAGCAGCAGAGAAAUGAUGGUCAGUGCACAAGUCUCUUUGUGUUGGAUUAAUUGCAAGCCUCCCUGCUAAUUUCAGGGAAAGCAGCAGAGUGUCCUAACUUAUCCUGGGUGAUUUGGGAGCUCCUUUAUUUCUCUGCUUGUCUCCAGUCAGUCGAAAUAGAUGAUUGUAUGCUCUGUGCUCCCACCUCCACACACCUCCUGCA